AUUUCUUUUUGAUCUGCUGAGACACUAUACUCGGGCACAAUUCUACUCUGUGGAUGGAGCUUUGCAUUAGUGUCAAGACUGGCUUUACAGAAAUCGAGGAAAUUCCCCAUAGCUUGUGGCACUAUAAUCACUUGCAUUCUGAAGAGGAAAUGGAACUUGGAGUGUCCCUUUAAAACAUUUAAAAAGCCUGAUCUCAUUUGUAAUAUCUUUCAGGGAAUGGCAUGUGCUAUUUCUAUUUCUAUCCAGAG